rnacentral:rRNA from 1 species
AGAUUGAACGCUAGCGGGAUGCUUUACACAUGCAAGUCGAACGGCAGCGCGGACUUCGGUCUGGCGGCGAGUGGCGAACGGGUGAGUAAUAUAUCGGAACGUGCCCAGUAGCGGGGGAUAACUACGCGAAAGCGUGGCUAAUACCGCAUACGCCCUACGGGGGAAAGGGGGGGAUUCUUCGGAACCUCUCACUAUUGGAGCGGCCGAUAUCAGAUUAGCUAGUUGGUGAGGUAAAGGCUCACCAAGGCGACGAUCUGUAGCUGGUUUGAGAGGACGACCAGCCACACUGGGACUGAGACACGGCCCAGACUCCUACGGGAGCAGCAGUGGGAAUUUGGACAAGUGGGGGAAACCCUGAUCCAGCCAUCCCGCGUGUGCGA